rnacentral:sRNA from 1 species
UGUAUCUGAAGCCUGACGAGGAUGAGAACCUCCGGGGGCAAGAGGUUCGACCCGAGCGAAGCGAGAGAACGUUGCGUCAGCAACGGCCCGCAGGGCGAGCCACGCAGUGGCGAGUCAUCCUCUAUCAC